GCCGGGAUGGCGGAAUUGGUANNGCGGGGCAACCCAUGAGAGUUCGAUUCUCUCUCUCGGCA
rnacentral:tRNA from 1 species